rnacentral:rRNA from 1 species
UGAACGCUGGCGGCGGGCCGACUACAUGCACGUCGAGCGACCAGACGAGGAGCUUGCUCCUCUGACGUUAGCGGCGGACGGGUGAGUAACACGUGGAUAACCUACCUAUAAGACUGGGAUAACUUCGGGAAACCGGAGCUAAUACCGGAUAAUAUAUUGAACCGCAUGGUUCAAUAGUGAAAGACGGUUUUGCUGUCACUUAUAGAUGGAUCCGCGCCGCAUUAGCUAGUUGGUAAGGUAACGGCUUACCAAGGCAACGAUGCGUAGCCGACCUGAGAGGGUGAUCGGCCACACUGGAACUGAGACACGGUCCAGACUCCUACGGGAGGCAGCAGUAGGGAAUCUUCCGCAAUGGGCGAAAGCCUGACGGAGCAACGCCGCGUGAGUGAUGAAGGUCUUCGGAUCGUAAAACUCUGUUAUUAGGGAAGAACAAAUGUGUAAGUAACUAUGCACGUCUUGACGGUACCUAAUCAGAAAGCCACGGCUAACUACGUG